CUUCUUACAGUGUCUCCAAUACUUUCUGAGUCUCUUCAGUGGAAGUAUAAAAAUAAUGCUGGGAAUUUAGACACUAGCUCUGCUGCUCACUUGCUAUGGGAAUUAGUUGAGUCUCUUUCUUUCUCUGGACCUCAGUUUAUUUACUUAAAAAAUGGAGCUAAUGGCCAUUCUGAACUCAACCUCAUAGACUGCAUUGCAGAAAAAGAAGAAGAGAUCAACUAAAUUUGCCAAACAGGAAGAAAGACUCCAGAGACAAUGUGAUGUUUAUAGGACCAAAUAGGCUAGGUAUAGAGGUUAGGAUGGGCUUGGCAGGUUGAAGGAUUAGCAAGUUAACUAAUGCAGAUGUAGCUGACAAGUAGGGUACGCGGAGAGAAGUGAUAGGAGAUGAGACUUGAAAGGAAGCUUUAGGCCUGUCUCUGAAGGGCUUUAAAUGCUUGUAGACCACUGGUGCUUAAGAACCAGAGGUGACAUGGUUAGUGUAGAGGAACUGCUGUCAAAUUUUUUGGUCUCAGGACCACUUUAAACUCUUAAAAAUGAUUGAGGACCUCAAAGAGGCUUUGUUUUUGUGGUUUAUAUCUAUUGAUGUCUACCAAAUUGCAAAUUAAAACUGAGAAUUUUUUGAAAAUUAAUUAACAAUUAACAAUAAUAGGUCAAUGAUGUGUUAACAUAUAAAACAUUUUUUGUGGAGAAUAUCUAUAUUUUUCAAAAAUACGAGAUAGUAAAAUAAAUGUUAUUAUCUUUGAAUUUUCAAAACUGGAUUAUUGGGCUUAAUAGAAAAUAACCAGAUUCUUGUAGCUGCUUCUGCAUUCAAUCUGCUAGGAUAUACUGUUUUGUUUGAAGAAAAUGAAGAAAAUCUGGCCACACACAUUAGUGCUAUAAAUUUCCCUUUUAACACUGUUUUAGCUGUGUCCCAGAGAUUCUGGUAUAUUGUCUCUUUUUUCUCAUUGGUUUCAAAUAACUUAUUUAUUUCUGCCUUAAUUUUGUUAUUUACCCAGUAGUCAUUCAGGAGUGGGUUAUUUAAUUUCCACGUAGUUGUGAGGUUCUGAGUGAGUUUCUUAAUCCUGAGUUCUAAUUUGAUUGCACUGUGGUCUAAGAGACUGUUAUGAUUUCAGUUGUUUUACAUUUGCUGAGGAGUGUUUUACUUCCAAUUAUGUGGUUGAUUUUAGAAUAAGUGUGAUGUGGCACUGAGAAGAAUGUAUAUUCUGUUGAUUUGGGGCGGAGAGUUCUGUAGAUGUUUAUUAGGUCCACUUGGUCCAGAGCUGAGUUCAAGUCCUGAAUAUCUUUAUUACUUUUUUGCCUCGUUGAUCUGUCUAAUAUUGACAGUGAGGUGUUAAAGUCUCCCACUAUUAUUUUGUGGGAGUCUAAGUCUCUUUGUAGGUCUCUAAGAAGUUGUUGUAUGAAUCUGAGUGCUCCUGUAUCGGGUGCAUAUAUAUUUAGGAUAGUUAGCUCUUCUUGUUGCAUUGAUCCCUUUACCACUAUGUAAUGCCCGUUUUUGUCUUUUUUGAUCUUUGUUGGUUUAAAGUCUGUUUUAUCAGAGACUAGGAUUGCAACCCCUGCUCUUAUUUGCUUUCCAUUUGCUGGGUGAAUAUUCCUCCCUUCCUUUAUUUUGAGCCUAUGUGUCUUUGCACGUGAGAUGGGUCUCCUGAAUGUAGCACACCAAUGGGUCUUGACUUUUUAUCCAAUUUGGCAGUCUGUGUCUUUUAAUUGGGGCAUUUAGCCCAUUUGCAUUUAAGGUUAAUAUUGUUAUGUGUGAAUUUGAUUCUGUCAUCAUGAUGCUAUCUGGUUAUUUUGCACAUUAGUUGAUGCGGUUUCUUCAUAGUGUCAUUGGUCUUUAUAUUUUGGUAUGUUUUUGCAGUGGCUGCUACUGGUUUUUCUUUUCCAUAUUUAGUGCUUCCUUCAGGAGCUCUUGUAAGGCAGGCCUGGUGGUGACAAAAUCCCUCAGCAUUUGUUUUUUUGUAAAUGAUUUUAUUUCUCCUUUGCUUAUGAAGCUUAGUUUGGCUGGAUAUGAAAUUCUGGGUUGAAAAUUAUUUUCUUUAAGAAUGUUGAAUAUUGGCCCCUGCUUUCUUCUAGCUUGUAAGGAUUCUUCAGAGAGAUCUGCUGUUAGUCUGAUCCUACUUGGGAAAUCCUCCUAGAUAUUUGAAAGGACUUGGAUAUUGGGAUAAAAGCUGUAUCUACUUUAGGGGGCACCCCAAGCUCAGUAAUGCUGUGGUUCUUGCAGACUCAUAGAGGUACCACCUUGAUGAUCUUGGAAACAAUCUGGGGCAAUUAUCUGGAUUGCUAGGCAGAGACUCUUGUUCUCUUCCCUUACUUUCUCCCAAUCAAAUGGAGUCUUUCUCUCUGUUCUGAGCCUUCUAAAUUUGGGGUUGAAGUGACACAAGCACCUCUGUCACCACCACCACUACGAAUGCACUAAGUCAGAUCUCAAGCCAGCACAGCUCUGGGUCUUGUCCAAGGCCUGCUCUUACCACUUCCUGGCUACCACCUAUGUUUGCUCAAAGUCCUGGGGCUCUAUCACCAGCAGGUGGCAAAACUAGCCGGGCCUGUGUUCUUCCCUUCAGGGUGAUGAAGUUCCCAAGGCCCCAGGUGGGUCCAGAGGUGCUGUCCGGCAGUCAGUGGCUAGAGUCAAAAACCUUAGAAAUCUACCUGGUGUUCUAUUGUACUGCAACUGAGCUGGCCCUCAAACAAGACACAGCUCUUCCCACUUUUUUCUCCCCUCUGCAAAGGCAGAGGAGCCUCAUCCUGCGGCCACUGCCACCACAUGGCCAUGCGGAGUACUGCCAGACUACUGCUGAUACUCCCUUUAGUCCCAAGGGCUCCCAAGUCAGCUUGUGGUGAAUGUUGCCUGGCCUGAGACUCACCGUUCAGGGCAGUAGACUCCCCUGUGGCCCAAGACAGGUCCAGAAAUGCCAUGCCAGAGUCAAGUACUGGAAUCGGGGACCACAAGAACCUGUUUGAUGUUCUACCCCCUUGUGGCCAAGUUUGUACCAAAGGUGGAAGACAAAGUCCACUUUACUUUUCCCUCUAGUUUUCUCAAGCAGAAGGAGUUUCACUCUGUAGUCACCAGAGCUGAGAAUGUGCUGAGUCUCACCUGAAACCAGCAAGUCUCAGAGGCUCUCCCAAAGCCCUCAACCUAGUAUCUGGGUAGUGCUGCUGGUUAUUCAGGGCCCAAGGGCUCUUCAGUUAGCAGGUGAUGAAUGCUGCCAGGACUGGGUUCUUCCCUUCAAGGCAGUGAGUUCCCUUCUGGCCGAGGGCAUGUCUAGAAAUGUCAUCCGGGAGGCAGGGUCUGGAAAGGGGACUUCAGGACUCUGACUGGUGCCCUAUCCUGCUGUGCCUAAGCUGCUAUCUGAUUCAAGACAAAGCUCUCCCCAUUCUUCCCUCUCCUCAAGCAGAAGUAAGGGCAGUCUUUUGGAGCCAUGAGCUGUGCAGCCUGGGGUUAAAGGACAGUGAUGCCAGCACUUUCUUUCUUUCUUUUCUCUUCUUUUCUUUUUUUUUUUAGCUGGAGUCUCCCUCUGUCACCCUGGCUGGAGUGCAGUCACGCAAUCUCAGCUCACUGCAUCCUCUGCCUCCCAGGUUCAAGCAAUUCUCCUGCCUUAGCCUCCUGAAUAGCUGGGAUUACAGGCAUGCACCACCAUGCCUAAUUUUUGUACUGAUGCCAGCACUUUCUUAGCAACCCCAGCUGGUGUCCUAGUAUGCCCCCUCCAGUCCACUGUCUCUGGGCCCAGUUCAGCGCUAGGACUUGCUUAAGAGUUUCAGUCCUUGUAGCCUAUACUGCCUUUCACGUUUAUUUAGAGAUCUAGAGCACUUUAACCCUCAGUGGCAAGGUUUGUGGGAACUUGAGUUCGGACCACUGGGAUUGGCAAUUCCCCUCUGGCUAGGGUUGCUUUAAAUGCUCCCUUCACGUGUGGGCAUCAGCUGAGUUUGGUCCAGUUUUCCUUUCUGCUCUAACAGGACAGCACUGAGUUGAAUGCCUCACAAUUGCUGUGCUCUCUCUCCUCCGGCACACAGAAAUGCUCUCUGCAUCAUGCUGCUUCUGUCAGGGGUGGUGCCAGCAAUUCAAGACCUUUUUUUUCUGUCUCUUCAGUGCCUCUUUCAGUGAUAUGAAGUUAAAACGAGGUACUAUACUAUGAGUGCUCACCUGAUUUUUGGUUCUCAUGAAGGUGCUUUUUUUGUGUAGAUACUUGUUAAAUUUGUGUCCUUCUUGUUGUGAAGAUCGGUAGAGCCUUCUAUUCUACCAUCUUGCUCUGCCUCCUGAUUCUGAAGCUUGAUUCCUUUUUCUCUUUGUAACUUCAAAAAUAUUGAACUUUCCUCAGGGCUCAAUUCUGGGCCCCUUCUACCUCUUCUAUAAACAAUCUUCCCAAGGACUUCUUACACACUCAUGGCUUUAAACAGCCCUUUUUUUUUGCCAACAACUCUUAUCGGGGAUCCUACCCCAUUAUUCGUGUAGGUUCUUUCUAUUUUCCCUAAGCGUUGGCCAGCUUGAGAAAUAAAGGGACAGAGUACAAAAGAGAGAAAUUUUAAAGCUGGGCAUCCGGGGGAGACAUCACAUGUCGGUAGGUUCUGUGAUGUCCCACAAGCCACAAAAACCAGCAAGUUUUUAUUAGGGAGUUUCAAAAGGGGAGGGAGUGUGCGAAUAGGUGUGGGUCAGACAUCAAGUACUUUACAAGGUAAUAGAAUAUCACAAGGCAAGUGGAGGCAGGGCGAGAUCACAGGACCACAGGACUGAGGCAAAAUUAAAAUUGCUAAUGAAGUUUCGGGCACCAUUGUCAUUGAUAACAUCUUAUCAGGAGACAGGGUUUUGAGAUCAACGGGUCUGACCAAAAUUUAUUAGGCGGGAAUUUCCUCUUCCUAAUAAGCCUGGGAGCACUAUGGGAGACUGGAGUCUGUUUCACCUCUGCAGUCUCGACCAUAAGAGAUGACCAUGCCCAGGAGGGCCAGUUUAGAGACCCACCCCCAGGUGUGCAUUCUCUUUCUCAGGGAUGUUCCAUGCUGAGAAAAAGAAUUCAGUGAUAUUUCUGCCAUUUGCUUUUGAAAGAAGAGAAAUAUGGCUCUGUUCCACCUGGCUCACCAGCGGUCAGAGUUUAAGGUUAUCUCCCUUAUUCCCUGAACAAUUGCUGUUAUCCUGUUCUUUUUUCAAGGUGCCCACAUUUCAUAUUGCUCAAACACACAUGCUGUACAAUUUGUGCAGUUAAUGCAAUUAUUACAGGGUCCUGAGGCAAUAUACAUCCUCCUCAGCUGACAGGAUUAAGAGAUUAAAGUAAAGACAGGCAUAGGAAAUAACAAGGGUAUUGAUUGGGGAAGUGAUAAGUGUCCAUGAAAUCUUUACAAUUUAUGUUUAGAGACUGUAGUAAAGACAGGCAUAAGAAAUUACAAAAUUAUUAAUUUGGGGAACUAAUAAAUGUCCAUGAAAUCUUCACAAUCUACAUUCUUCUGCCAUGGCUUCAGCCGGUCCCUCCAUUUGGGGUCCCUGACUUCCCGCAACAAACUCUCCAAUUUCUCUCUCUAGCUCAUUCUUAUCUUCUGAGCUUCAGCUAUACUAAUUCAACUACCUGCUUGACAUCUCCAUCUCAUUGUCUCCCUGACAUCUCAAACUCAACAUAUUCAAAACUAAGCUCUUGAUUUAUUCUUUACUCUCCUAGCCCAAAUCUACUCUUCCUUUAUCUUUCUUAUCUCAGGAAAUGGUAGCUCCAUCAACCUAAUGGUUCAUUCCAAGAGCCCUGGAGACCAUCUGGACAUUUUCCUCUCUCUCAUUCACCACUUCUUUUCACGCAAAGUCUAUUUAAAAAAUGUGCACUCUGUCCUUCCCAUGGCUAUCAUUUAAGCCUAAGCAAUCACCAUCUCUUGCCUGAACUAUUUUAAUAGCCUCCUAACUGGUCUCUUCAUUUUCUCUCAUCUCAUCCUAUUAUAAACUCACCACAGGGCAACCAGAUUGACCUUUUAAAAAUGUAAAUCAGAUCAUACCACUCCCCUGUUUAAAUCUUUUAAUGGUUUCCCAUUUCACUUGAAAUCCAAAUCCCUUAAGAUGGCCUACAAAGUUCUGCACUAUCUCCAGAGAUUAUCUCUCUAAACUCAUCUCACGACCUUAUUUUCCUCAUACUCAAACUCCAGCUACACUGGCCUUCUUCCUUUUCCUCAAACAUCCUAUUCUCCUGUUUCCCUCUCAAGAUCUUAGCACACAUCCUUUUGACUUGGACACUUUCCCUCUAUUUCUUUGCAUGUGUCACUUCUUAUCUUUCAGCUGUCUGGUUAAAUGUGAAUUUCCCAGAGAAUCUUGCCUCGAGGCCCCAAACUAAGCCAGGCAAUUUCCUCAUUGUGAUCUAUCAUGCCAUUAUUUACUUAAUAAUGCUUUUCAUAAUCUAUAAUUAUGCUUUCAAUUUUGUGAUUAUUUAUUUAACAUCUAUCUCCCUCCAAGUGCUGUGAAGAGAGUUCCACCCACCAAGGGAGAUGGACUUCAAGGAAGUUUCUCUGUGUUCUACUUUAAGUCAGUUGACUUGUUACAGAAUCUCUACAAUCUUCACUUUCUAUUUCUAUAGAGAACCAUGUCUAGCUCAGACUACCUCUUCCCUCCUGCCCCUGCCAAGCAAUGUGUCACUGGAAUUGAAUAGUCACAAUUACUUUGGGUUUCAGAAAA
rnacentral:lncRNA from 1 species